rnacentral:rRNA from 1 species
CUACUCGGGUAUCUAAUCCUGUUUGCUCCCCUAGCUUUCGUCUCUCAGCGUCAGUUGUGAUCCAGCGAGCCGCUUUCGCCUCGGAUGUUCCUACGGAUAUCUACGCAUUUCACCGCUACACCCGUAAUUCCACUCGCCUCUCUCACACUCUAGCACGGCAGUUUCGCUAGCAGCCCCUAGGUUAAGCCUAGGGAUUUCACUCUCGACUUGCCGCACCGCCUACGGACCCUUUACGCCCAGUAAUUCCGAGCAACGCUGGCCCCCUACGUAUUACCGCGGCUGCUGGCAC